GUGGGGAAUAUUGGACAAUGGGCGCAAGCCUGAUCCAGCCAUGCCGCGUGAGUGAUGAAGGCCCUAGGGUUGUAAAGCUCUUUCACCGAUGAAGAUAAUGACGGUAGUCGGAGAAGAAGCCCCGGCUAACUUCGUGCCAGCAGCCGCGGUAAUACGAAGGGGGCUAGCGUUGUUCGGAAUUACUGGGCGUAAAGCGCACGUAGGCGGAUAUUUAAGUCAGGGGUGAAAUCCCAGAGCUCAACUCUGGAACUGCCUUUGAUACUGGGUAUAUCGAGUAUGGAAGAGGUGAGUGGAAUUCCGAGUGUAGAGGUGAAAUUCGUAGAUAUUCGGAGGAACACCAGUGGCGAAGGCGGCUCACUGGUCCAUUACUGACGCUGAGGCGCGAAAGCCAGGGGAGCGAACGGGAUUAGAUACCCUUGUAGUCC
rnacentral:rRNA from 1 species